GUUCGAAAUCCCUUAAGGAUAGGCGCCUAUCGCCAGAGGGCAACAGAAUUUCAUCUCGGGGCAAAUCUAAGGAAAACCCAAAGCAGCUGGAAGACGACCGGAAACAGCAUCUUGACUUCAGCCUCAUGUAUUGAAACAUUAUCUUAUUGAAUCUUCAAGUUCAGCAAAAUGAACUCCCUUUCAUGUUAGGAAUUGAAAUUAGAGUACUCUAUUUCACCAACCAGCAGGAAACUUAUUUACAUGGUCUGGGAACAGGAGAAACAAUAGGAAACCAGAAGUUGAACCUGAGAAUCACAGUGGCAGUUCAGGAGGAAGCCUGCACUUUCUAAGAGAACGUUAGUGUCUUCCACCCUCUCCUUCACUCAGAAUAUUCAGACCAGGAUAUUAGCUGUUGGCAAAACAUUUAAUCUCUAGGGAACUCAACUUUCUCACUUCUGAAGCAAGGACUAAAUUAUUUCUACCUUUCUGGCUUUAAAUUUUGGCUCUUGGAAUAUUCUCAAUCUCCUUCAGUCAUUUUCCAUCGGUCCUGAUUCCUGGUUCUCCCUUGGAAAUUCUACUUGCUCAGAGUUUUGUGCUGUGAGCAGGCAGUGUGCUUUUGUGUCUUACACCACACCACGCUUCUACCUCCUGAGAGCUGAAGGCUAGCUUUUAUUUAAUAAAAGUCUGAGCAAACCUUAGCGCGACAGCCACAGGCCGGGGGAGCAGAAAUUAGGUAG
rnacentral:lncRNA from 1 species